rnacentral:rRNA from 1 species
UACGUAGGGUGCAAGCGUUAAUCGGAAUUACUGGGCGUAAAGCGUGCGCAGGCGGUGAUAUAAGACAGAUGUGAAAUCCCCGGGCUCAACCUGGGAACUGCAUUUGUGACUGCAUCGCUGGAGUACGGCAGAGGGGGAUGGAAUUCCGCGUGUAGCAGUGAAAUGCGUAGAUAUGCGGAGGAACACCGAUGGCGAAGGCAAUCCCCUGGACCUGUACUGACGCUCAUGCA